UGGUGCCAGCAGCCGCGGUAAUUCCAGCUCCAAUAGCGUAUAUUAAAGUUGUUGCAGUUAAAAAGCUCGUAGUUGAAUUUCGGGGUUAGUAGAUUGGUCAUGCCUCUGGUAUGCACUGGUCUCACUGAUUCCUCCUUCCUGAUGAGCCGUAAUGCCAUUAAUUUGGUGUUGCGGGGAAUUUGGACUGUUACUUUGAAAAAAUUAGAGUGUUUAAAGCAAGCUAACGCUUGAAUACAUUAGCAUGGAAUAAUGAAAUAGGACGUUCGAUCCUAUUUUGUUGGUUUCUAGGAUUGACGUAAUGAUUAAUAGGGAUAGUUGGGGGCAUUAGUAUUCAAUUGUCAGAGGUGAAAUUCUUGGAUUUAUUGAAGACUAACUACUGCGAAAGCAUUUGCCAAGGAUGUUUUCAUUAAUCAAGAACGAAAGUUAGGGGAUCGAAGACGAUCAGAUACCGUCGUAGUCUUAACCAUAAACUAUGCCGACUAGGGAUCGGAUGAUGUUAAUUUUUUAAUGACUCA
rnacentral:rRNA from 1 species